UACGUAGGGGGCAAGCGUUGUCCGGAAUCAUUGGGCGUAAAGAGCGUGUAGGCGGCCCGGUAAGUCCGCUGUGAAAGUCCAGGGCUCAACCCUGGGAUGCCGGUGGAUACUGUCGGGCUCGAGUCCGGAAGAGGAGUGUGGAAUUCCUGGUGUAGCGGUGAAAUGCGCAGAUAUCGAGGAGGAACACCAAUGCGAAGGCAGCACUCUGGGACGUGACUGACGGCUGAGACGCGAAAGCGUGGGGAGCAAACAGG
rnacentral:rRNA from 1 species